rnacentral:lncRNA from 1 species
ACCUCAAGACUUCAAACCAAGGAACUACUUUUCCUUCUUACAACAAGGGAUUAGACUAUCCCUUCAAGUGUGUACAAACACUUAGCACUCACUUAAAAGAACUCUCUUGAAGAGUAGAUAUGAGUAAAUAAAUACGCUCAAGACCACAACAACUUAGUCAAGAGUUUGGCUCUCAAAAACUUAUGAAAUGAAUAUAAAAU